rnacentral:lncRNA from 1 species
AAAACCUCUUCCCCGGCCACGUGACCCGGCGCCCCAGGCCACCCCGGCGGAGGAGGGACGUGGAGGGCGAGGACGCCUGCGGAAGGGAAGGAGGGAGGAAAGGCGCUCAGGCUCGCACGGGCGGGAUUCCAGACUACGGAGUCUCGCACUGUCGCCCAGUGCAGUGGCGUGAUCUCGGCUCACUGCCAUCUCCGCCUCCCAGGUUCAAGUGAUCCUCCUGCCUCAGCCUCCCGAGUAGCUGGGACUACAGGUGUGCGCCACCACGCCGGGAUAAUUUUAAAAAUUUCUGUAGAGACGGGGGUCUCCCCAUGUCGCCCAGGCUGGUCUCUAACUCCUGGCCUCAAGUGAUGGUCCUGCUUCAGCCUCCCAAAGUGCUGGGAUUACAGGUGUGAGCCACCGCACCUGGCCUCAAAACUUUAUUUUUAUAAACGGCACAAAACAUAUAUGCUGAAAUAAAAAGAGCUUCCUUCCUGAUGUUGAUUCU